rnacentral:rRNA from 1 species
GCUAACGCCGUGUCAGCAGGCGGUUUGAUACCGUGGAUGCAAGAUUGUGCCGGAAGGAUUGGGCGGAAGAGUGCCGUAGUGGUGGAGUGAAGUGUUCGGUCAAAGGCUGUGGCUUAAACCUGGAAAGGGCGUGGAAACUGACGGGCUAGAGUGCAGUAGGGGUAGAGGGAAUUCCCGGUGUAGCGUUUAAAUGCGUAGAGCUCGGGAAGAACAUCGGUGGCGAAAGCGCUCUACUGGACUGCAACUGACACGCAGGGACGAAAGCUAGGGGAGCGAAUGGGAUUAGAUACCCGUGUAGUC